AUCGAAGAGGCGCAGCUGACAAGAGUAGCAGUUUCGAGUUUGCCGAAAACAAUGAAAAAUUGUGAAAGGGGAGGUUGCCGAAGCGAUCACUGAAACGGAUAGGUGAUUAGCUGGGUCGACACAGAAGAUGUGUCGGACUGUCGCCGGACAAAUGGAGCCGGCGGUGCGCUAUCG
rnacentral:ncRNA from 1 species